rnacentral:rRNA from 1 species
AGAGUUCGAUCCUGGCUCAGGAUGAACGCUGGCGGCGUGCCUAACACAUGCAAGUCGAACGAGAUGCGUAUUGGAAAGCUUCGGCCGGAAGAUACGUUAUCUAGUGGCGGACGGGUGAGUAACACGUGGGUAACCUGCCUUAUGGAGGGGGAUAACAGAGAGAAAUCACUGCUAAUACCGCAUAAGCACACAGUACCGCAUGGUACAGGGUGAAAAGAUUUAUCGCCAUAAGAUGGACCCGCGUCUGAUUAGCCAGUUGGCAGGGUAAAAGCCUACCAAAGCAACGAUCAGUAGCCGAUCUGAGAGGAUGACCGGCCACAUUGGGACUGAGACACGGCCCAAACUCCUACGGGAGGCAGCAGUGGGGAAUAUUGCACAAUGGGGGAAACCCUGAUGCAGCGACGCCGCGUGAGUGAAGAAGUAUUUCGGUAUGUAAAGCUCUAUCAGCAGGGAAGAUAAUGACAGUACCUGACUAAGAAGCCCCGGCUAACUACGUGCCAGCAGCCGCGGUAAUACGUAGGGGGCAAGCGUUAUCCGGAUUUACUGGGUGUAAAGGGAGCGUAGACGGAAUGGCAAGUCUGAAGUGAAAUACCCGGGCUCAACCUGGGAACUGCUUUGGAAACUGUUGUUCUAGAGUGUUGGAGAGGUAAGUGGAAUUCCUGGUGUAGCGGUGAAAUGCGUAGAUAUCAGGAAGAACACCGGAGGCGAAGGCGGCUUACUGGACAAUAACUGACGUUGAGGCUCGAAAGCGUGGGGAUCAAACAGGAUUAGAUACCCUGGUAGUCCACGCUGUAAACGAUGAAUACUAGGUGUCGGGGUGCAAAGCAUCUCGGUGCCGUCGCUAACGCAAUAAGUAUUCCACCUGGGGAGUACGUUCGCAAGAAUGAAACUCAAAGGA